GCUGGGUGCAGUGGCACGUGCCUGUAGUCCCAGCUACUCGGGAGGCUGUGGCUGGAGGAUGCUUGAGCGCAGGAGUUCUGGGCUGCAGUGCACUAUGCCAAUCAGGUGUCUGCACUAAGUUUGGCAUCAAUAUGGUGACCUCCCAGGAGCAGGGGACCACCAGGUUGCCUAAGGAGGGGUGAACCGGCCCAGGUCAAAAAUGGAGCAGGUCAAAACUCCCAUGCUGAUCAGUAGUGGGAUCGCGCCUGUGAAUAGCCACUGCACUCCAGCCUGGGCAACAGAGCAAGACCCUGUCUCUA
rnacentral:SRP_RNA from 1 species